AAGGACUAGUGGAGCGCUUAGAAGUGAGAAUGCCGGUAUGAGUAGCGAAAGAUCAGUGAGAAUCUGAUCCACCGAAUGACUAAGGUUUCCUGGGGAAGGCUCGUCCUCCCAGGGUUAGUCGGGACCUAAGCCGAGGCUGAGAAGCGUAGGCGAUGGAUAACAGGUUGAUAUUCCUGUACUAGUUAAUCAUGUUUGAACGAUGGAGGGACGCAGGAGGCUAUGGUGUGCACACGAUUGGAAAUGUGUGUUCAAGCGUCAAGUCUGGUGAUGAGUCAAAUGCUUAUCGCUAAGGACAAGGCGUGACGAGGACCGAAUUUUAGUAGGGAAGCGCCAGAUGUCACACUGCCGAGAAAAGCUUCUAGUUAGUGAUUAAUUACCCGUACCGCAAACCGACACAGGUAGUCGAGGAGAGUAUCCUAAGGUGAGCGAGUGAACUCUCGUUAAGGAACUCGGCAAAAUGACCCCGUAACUUCGGGAGAAGGGGUGCUACACGCAAGUGUAGCCGCAGUGAAAAGGCCCAGGCGACUGUUUAUCAAAAACACAGGUUUCUGCAAAAUCGUAAGAUGACGUAUAGGGGCUGACGCCUGCCCGGUGCUGGAAGGUUAAGUGGAUGAGUUAGCUUCGGCGAAGCCCAGAAAUGAAGCCCCAGUAAACGGCGGCCGUAACUAUAACGGUCCUAAGGUAGCGAAAUUCCUUGUCGGGUAAGUUCCGACCCGCACGAAAGGCGUAACGAUCUGGGCACUGUCUCAACGAGAGACUCGGUGAAAUUAUAUUACCUGUGAAGAUGCAGGUUACCCGCGACAGGACGGAAAGACCCCAUGGAGCUUUACUGUAGCUUGAUAUUGGGUGUUGACACAGCUUGUACAGGAUAGGUCGGAGCCGUAGAACUCGGAACGCUAGUUUCGAGUGAGGCGCUGGUGGGAUACGACCCUCGCUGUGUGAACACUCUAACCCACACCACUAAUCGUGGUGGGAGACAGUGUCAGGUGGGCAGUUUGACUGGGGCGGUCGCCUCCUAAAAAGUAACGGAGGCGCCCAAAGGUUCUCUCAGAAUGGUUGGAAAUCAUUCGUCGAGUGUAAAGGCAGAAGAGAGCUUGACUGCGAGACAGACAGGUCGAGCAGGGACGAAAGUCGGGCUUAGUGAUCCGGUGGUACCGUAUGGAAGGGCCAUCGCUCAACGGAUAAAAGCUACCCUGGGGAUAACAGGCUUAUCUCCCCCAAGAGUCCACAUCGACGGGGAGGUUUGGCACCUCGAUGUCGGCUCAUCGCAUCCUGGGGCUGUAGUCGGUCCCAAGGGUUGGGCUGUUCGCCCAUUAAAGCGGUACGCGAGCUGGGUUCAGAACGUCGUGAGACAGUUCGGUCCCUAUCCGUCGCGGGCGUAGGAAAUUUGAGAGGAGCUGUCCUUAGUACGAGAGGACCGGGAUGGACAUACCGCUGGUGUACCAGUUGUGCCGCCAGGCGCAUCGCUGGGUAGCUAUGUAUGGAUGAGAUAAACGCUGAAAGCAUCUAAGUGUGAAACUCGCCUCGAGAUGAGAUUUCCCAUUCCUAUAUGGAAGUAAGACCCCUGAGAGAUGAUCAGGUAGAUAGGCUGGAAGUAGCAGCGCCGUGAGGCGUGGAGCGGACCAGUACUAAUCGGUCGAGGACUUAACCAAGUU
rnacentral:rRNA from 1 species